GGGGAUUUAGCUCAGCGGCAUAAGCACCUGCCUUGCAAGCUGGUGGUAUGACUUCAAUCCCCA
rnacentral:tRNA from 1 species